rnacentral:rRNA from 1 species
UACAGAGGGUGCAAGCGUUGUUCGGAAUUAUUGGGCGUAAAGCGCGUGUAGGCGGCUUUGCAAGUCGGGUGUGAAAGCCCUCAGCUCAACUGAGGAAGUGCGCCCGAAACUGCAGAGCUUGAGUGCCGGAGAGGGUGGCGGAAUUCCCCAAGUAGAGGUGAAAUUCGUAGAUAUUGGGAAGAACACCGGUGGCGAAGGGCGGGCCUCAGCUGGCUCG